rnacentral:rRNA from 1 species
UACGAAGGGGGCGAGCGUUGUUCGGAAUUACUGGGCGUAAAGGGCGCGCAGGCGGCUCAUUUUGUCAGGCGUGAAAGCCCCGGGCUUAACCUGGGAGGUGCGUUUGAUACGGAUGGGCUGGAGUUCGGGAGAGGAGAGCGGAAUUCCCAGUGUAGAGGUGAAAUUCGUAGAUAUUGGGAAGAACACCGGUGGCGAAGGCGGCUCUUCUGGACCGAUACUGACGCUGAGGCGCGAAAGCGUGGGGAGCAAACAGG